ensembl:snoRNA SNORA70 Small nucleolar RNA SNORA70
CUGCAGCCAAUUAAGCUGACUGAGUUCCUUUCCUCAUGGGGACCCAGUGUGCAAUGGCUGCAAACAGCAGCUUCCCUGGUAGUGAUGCAGCCUGUUUGUUGUAUGGGUUGCUCUAAAGGACCUUGGAGACAGUC